ACAUAAGCAAAGAUGACAGAAGAGUGGUAGACGGCUAGAAGACCAACAUAAGCAGACUGUAAAAACCAGGAAGUUCUGGAAAAGAGACACCGAACAGAUCGUAAAGGAGUUUUUCAGAUAAUGGAUUCUUCUGGAGGAAGAAAUGACUUCCCAAGGAAAGCAGAAGUUCAGUAGCCAAAAGUAGGUGCUGACCCCUACAAGCCACCAACACUAUAACCAUCUCUCCACUGAAAAUUCUAGAAGGCUUAGGUCAUAGACCAUUCUAAUAGGCUUCAAUUCACUUAAGAAUCACUCACCUUCUCUGGUGUUCCAGCAACAGGACAUCCAAUGGGGAGGCAACUCCAGCACUCUAAGACAAGCCACUGAGAGCAAUGGACUGGCGUUUGGUUUUAUGGAAAUGUAUCCUUCCCUGAAAGCAUAGUUUCUAAGGAAGGCACUUCAAGGAGCACUUAAGUGUGUUUGUUCAACAUCCGGGUCUCUCAAGGGGCAGCACAUAAAUGCAUGCAUUUAAAAUUGUAACCCUCGGAAACAUUGAUUUCUGACGUGGCCGGGCAUCCUGAUAGUGAUCUUAGAGGAGCCAGUCCUGGAGGAGAGCACAUUUUUCUCCUGGGCUGGUCUCAGCUGACUACAGUAAAGUCCCAACGACUCUGAAACAUCUUCCUGCUUUUUAACCUUUUAAAGAAGGUAAACCCA